GGUCAAGCGAAUAAGCGCACACGGUGGAUGCCUAGGCGGUCAGAGGCGAUGAAGGACGUGGUAGCCUGCGAAAAGUGUCGGGGAGCUGGCAACAAGCUUUGAUCCGGCAAUAUCCGAAUGGGGAAACCCACUGCUUCGGCAGUAUCUUGCAGUGAAUUCAUAGCUGCUUGAAGCGAACCCGGUGAACUGAAAUAUCUAAGUAACCGGAGGAAAAGAAAUCAACCGAGAUUCCCUGAGUAGUGACGAGCGAACGGGGAACAGCCCUUAAGCUGGAAUGGCUUUAGAAAAACAAUCUGGAAAGAUUGGCCAUAGAAGGUGAUAGCCCUGUAUUUAAAAGGGCCACUCCAGUGAAGACGAGUAGGGCGGGGCACGUGAAACCCUGUCUGAAUAUGGGGGGACCAUCCUCCAAGGCUAAAUACUCCUGACCGACCGAUAGUGAACCAGUACCGUGAGGGAAAGGCGAAAAGAACCCCGGAGAGGGGAGUGAAAUAGAUCCUGAAACCGUGUGCGUACAAGCAGUAGGAGCUCGCAAGAGUGACUGCGUACCUUUUGUAUAAUGGGUCAGCGACUUACUGUUCGUGGCAAGCUUAACCGUAUAGGGGAGGCGAAGGGAAACCGAGUCUGAUAAGGGCGCAUAGUCGCGGGCAGUAGACCCGAAACCGGGUGAUCUAGUCAUGGCCAGGGUGAAGGUGCCGUAACAGGUACUGGAGGCCCGAACCCACGUCUGUUGCAAAAGACGGGGAUGAGCUGUGAUUAGGAGUGAAAAGCUAAUCGAACCCGGAGAUAGCUGGUUCUCCUCGAAAGCUAUUUAGGUAGCGCCUCGGACGAAUACUACUGGGGGUAGAGCACUGUUAUGGCUAGGGGGUCAUCGCGACUUACCAAACCAUUGCAAACUCCGAAUACCAGUACGUACUAUCCGGGAGACACACGGCGGGUGCUAACGUCCGUCGUGAAAAGGGAAACAACCCAGACCCACAGCUAAGGUCCCAAAUUCACUGCUAAGUGGAAAACGAUGUGGAAAGGCAUAGACAGCCAGGAGGUUGGCUUAGAAGCAGCCACCCUUUAAAGAAAGCGUAAUAGCUCACUGGUCGAGUCGGUCUGCGCGGAAGAUUUAACGGGGCUAAGCAGUGAACCGAAGCUUGGGGUGCGUAAAACUUCGGUUUUAUGCGCGGUAGAGGAGCGUUCCGUAAGCCUGCGAAGGUGGAUUGAGAAGUCUGCUGGAGGUAUCGGAAGUGCGAAUGCUGACAUGAGUAACGAUAAUGCGGGUGAAAAGCCCGCACGCCGAAAGCCCAAGGUUUCCUUGCGCAACGUUAAUCGACGCAGGGUUAGUCGGUCCCUAAGGCGAGGGCGAAAGCCGUAGUCGAUGGGAAGCAGGUUAAUAUUCCUGCACCUCGCGUGAGUGCGAUGGAGGGACGGAGAAGGUUAGGUGUACCGGGCGUUGGUUGUCCCGGGGAAAGGCGGUAGGUUUGGAUCUUUGGCAAAUCCGGGAUCCUUUAAGACCGAGCACCGAGACGAGCCUUUAUGGCGAAGUCACUGAUACCACGCUUCCAGGAAAAGCUCCUAAGCUUCAGCUCACGAAGACCGUACCGUAAACCGACACAGGUGGGUAGGAUGAGAAUUCUCAGGCGCUUGAGAGAACUCGGGUGAAGGAACUAGGCAACAUGGCACCGUAACUUCGGGAGAAGGUGCACCCUUUUUGGUGGCUCAUGCGAGCUAUAGCUGAAGAGGGUCGCAGAAACCAGGCCGCUGCGACUGUUUAUCAAAAACACAGCACUCUGCAAACACGAAAGUGGACGUAUAGGGUGUGACGCCUGCCCGGUGCUGGAAGGUUAAUUGAUGGGGUCAGCCGCAAGGCGAAGCUCUUGAUCGAAGCCCCAGUAAACGGCGGCCGUAACUAUAACGGUCCUAAGGUAGCGAAAUUCCUUGUCGGGUAAGUUCCGACCUGCACGAAUGGCGUAACGACAGCGGCGCUGUCUCCACCCGAGACUCAGUGAAAUUGAAAUCGCUGUGAAGAUGCAGCGUUCCCGUGGCAAGACGGAAAGACCCCGUGAACCUUUACUAUAGCUUUACACUGAACGUUGAGUUCGUCUGUGUAGGAUAGGUGGGAGGCUAUGAAACUGUGGCGCUAGCUGCAGUGGAGCCAACCUUGAAAUACCACCCUGUCGUGCUUGACGUUCUAACCUAGAUCCGUUAUCCGGAUCAGGGACCGUGUAUGGUGGGUAGUUUGACUGGGGCGGUCUCCUCCUAAAGAGUAACGGAGGAGCACGAAGGUACGCUCAGCGCGGUCGGACAUCGCGCACUGUGUGCAAAGGCAUAAGCGUGCUUGACUGCAAGAUCGACGGAUCAAGCAGGUACGAAAGUAGGUCUUAGUGAUCCGGUGGUUCUGUAUGGAAGGGCCAUCGCUCAACGGAUAAAAGGUACUCCGGGGAUAACAGGCUGAUACCGCCCAAGAGUUCAUAUCGACGGCGGUGUUUGGCACCUCGAUGUCGGCUCAUCACAUCCUGGGGCUGUAGUCGGUCCCAAGGGUAUGGCUGUUCGCCAUUUAAAGUGGUACGCGAGCUGGGUUCAGAACGUCGUGAGACAGUUCGGUCCCUAUCUGCCAUGGGCGUUGGAAGUUUGAGAGGGGCUGCUCCUAGUACGAGAGGACCGGAGUGGACGAACCUCUGGUGUUCCGGUUGUCACGCCAGUGGCAUUGCCGGGUAGCUAUGUUCGGAAGCGAUAACCGCUGAAAGCAUCUAAGCGGGAAGCGCGCCUCAAGAUGAGACUUCCCGGGGAACAAGCCCCCUAAAGGAACCAUAUAGACUAUGUGGUUGAUAGGUCAGGUGUGUAAGUACAGCAAUGUAUUGAGCUAACUGAUACUAAUGAUCCGUGCGGCUUGACCAU
rnacentral:rRNA from 1 species